UACGUAGGGUGCAAGCGUUAAUCGGAAUUACUGGGCGUAAAGCGUGCGCAGGCGGCUUUGCAAGACAGAUGUGAAAUCCCCGGGCUUAACCUGGGAACUGCAUUUGUGACUGCAUGGCUGGAGUGCGGCAGAGGGGGAUGGAAUUCCGCGUGUAGCAGUGAAAUGCGUAGAUAUGCGGAGGAACACCGAUGGCGAAGGCAAUCCCCUGGGCCUGCACUGACGCUCAUGCACGAAAGCGUGGGGAGCGAAACAAGGAUG
rnacentral:rRNA from 1 species